UGCCUGCCUGUGAUUUAUUUAACGGCCGCGGUACCUAACCGUGCAAGGUAGAUAAUCAAUUGUCCCUUAAAUUAGGACUAGUAUGAACGGCAUCACGAGGGUUAAACUGUCUCCCCUCUUAAAUCAAUGAAAUUAAUCUCCCCGUGAAGAAGCGGGAAUAAAAUUAUAAGACGAAAAGACCCCAUGGAGCUUUAAGCUUAUUACCACUUAUUUAACUAUACAACAGAAUAAUGAUAAAAGUGUUUAAUAGCUUUCGGUUGGGGCGACCCUGGAGAAAAAUAAAUCCUCCAGAUUGAAAAAAUAACCCUUAUAUAAGAACUACUAUUCAAAUAAACAAAAACUUGACAAAACUGACCCAGGAUUAACUGAUCAGUGAACCAAGUUACCCUGGGGAUAACAGCGCAAUCCAUUUCAAGAGCCCAUAUCGACAAAUGGGUUUACGACCUCGAUGUUGGAUCGGGGUAUCCUAGCAGCGCAGCCCUUGCUAAUGGUUCGUUUGUUCAACGAUUAACACCCCACGUGAUCU
rnacentral:rRNA from 1 species